GUUUUGUGUGGCAAUCACAUCUACUGCACUCUUCACUCCAAGAUGGCCCUCCUGUCGCCCACUCUGGACUUGGUGGUCACAGCGGUUGGUAGCCUCCUUCUGUUCAUGCUGGCCCUGGGCCUGCUAUGUUUCUUCACCUGUCGCCUAGCCAGGCCACUCAGGAUCGGAACGUCAAUUAACGGCUGACACUGCCCCCCACCUCUUCCCACCCAUCUGGGCUCCAGCGAGGAACGGAUCUCGGGGUACACCAUGAUCUUGCCAUUUUUAGUACUGGCCAUCGGCACCUGCCUUACCAACUCAUUUGUGCCAGAGAAAGAGAAAGACCCCAGUUACUGGCGACAGCAAGCCCAAGAGACCUUGAAAAAUGCCCUGAAACUCCAAAAACUCAACACCAACGUGGCCAAGAACAUCAUCAUGUUCCUGGGAGAUGGUAUGGGC
rnacentral:lncRNA from 1 species